GACGAACGCUGGCGGCGUGCUUAACACAUGCAAGUCGAACGGAAAGGCCCUGCUUUUGUGGGGUGCUCGAGUGGCGAACGGGUGAGUAACACGUGAGUAACCUGCCCUUGACUUUGGGAUAACUUCAGGAAACUGGGGCUAAUACCGGAUAGGAGCUCCUGCUGCAUGGUGGGGGUUGGAAAGUUUCGGCCGUUGGGGAUGGACUCGCGGCUUAUCAGCUUGUUGGUGGGGUAGUGGCUUACCAAGGCUUUGACGGGUAGCCGGCCUGAGAGGGUGACCGGGCACAUUGGGACUGAGAUACGGCCCAGACUCCUACGGGAGGCAGCAGUGGGGAAUAUGGCACAAUGGGCGGAAGCCUGAUGCAGCAACGCCGCGUGCGGGAUGACGGCCUUCGGGUUGUAAACCGCUUUCGCCUGUGACGAAGCGUGAGUGACGGUAAUGGGUAAAGAAGCACCGGCUAACUACGUG
rnacentral:rRNA from 1 species